UACGUAGGCAGCGAGCGUUGUUCGGAGUUACUGGGCGUAAAGGGUGUGUAGGCGGUUGUUUAAGUUUGGUGUGAAAUCUCCCGGCUCAACUGGGAGGGUGCGCCGAAUACUGAAUGACUUGGAGUGCGGGAGAGGAGAGUGGAGUUCCUGGUGUAGCGGUGAAAUGCGUAGAUAUCAGGAGGAACACCGGUGGUGUAGACGGCUCUCUGGACCGUAACUGACGCUGAGACACGAAAGCGUGGGUAGCAAACAGG
rnacentral:rRNA from 1 species